UGAUGAUGAUGAUGAUGAUGAUGAUGAUGAUGAUGAUGAUGAUGAUGAUGAUGAUGAUGUCUCCUCACCCGCAGCUUCAUGGCAAUCAGCUUGACAA
rnacentral:miRNA from 1 species